UCUAUGGUGAUACUUAAUGGGAAAAUAAAGCGUUGCAAUAGGUACAAGCAUUGUUUAUUAAUUUCUUCCGUAAUAUUUCAUACGCCAAUUUUUUUUCCAAUUUAUCAAAACAUAUUUUCCCUUUCUCAAUAGAACAAAACCACGAGCCAAAACCCUACUUCUCUUUCUCAAACAAAAUCUCCAUUUCUUAAACAAAAUUUCGAUCCAUUUCUUUUGUUGUUUCAGACAAAAUAGCAACAAAUUCAAUCAAUUUCAAAUCUCGAACAACUUUCAAAUCCAUUUCUCUAAACAAAAUCUCGAACAACUUUCAAAUACAUUAAGCUCGAACAAAAGCCAAUUUUCCCAUUAGAAACAGAAGCUCUCUCUAAAAAAAUACAAUCGAUUAAGGAGAAAUUAAGCUUUCAAAUAGCGAACAAAAAUCUUUUUCGAACAGCAAUCUCGACAUAAGAUUAAGGUGAAAUUUCAAGGUCUUAGUGAAAUUUUGAUCCAGUUAGAGCUCUCAAUCUCAUAGUGAAAUUUCAAACAACAAUCUCUUAAGUGUUGUUUGCUGUUUCAGAGCCAACCCACUUGUUGUUUUGGAGUGUUCUUCUUCAAUUUUGGGACUUUAAGGUUAUAAGCUUUGAAGAGCACUCGAAAAGAAGCUGCAUCUCAAACUUUUUCCUUUUAUGCUGUAACAUUAACAUAAUAAAUGAAAGUUGAGGGGUAGUUCCAAUGCUUCUCUAGUUACAAAAACUAGAGUUGGCUGUUGCAGCUCUUAAAACUUAUCGCGACUCGGACUUGAUACUAUGUAAGAACUUAAUUAAUUAUUUGGCCUUAAUUAACAUUUUGCUUUUGGGUUUAGACUUGUUGCAUAUUUUGGAUUAUGUAGUUAUUAAUGAAUGAUUUUGUUUUGAGAUGUAUAUAUAAUUGUGUAUUAUAAUUCAUUAUGUAUGUAAAUACUAAUUUACAGUAUGAGUGGCUAUUUUAUAUAAAUCAUCGCAAUUGAUA